rnacentral:rRNA from 1 species
GACGAACGCUGGCGGCGUGCUUAACACAUGCAAGUCGAACGGAAAGGCCCUGCUUGCAGGGUACUCGAGUGGCGAACGGGUGAGUAACACGUGGGUGAUCUGCCCUGCACUUCGGGAUAAGCCUGGGAAACUGGGUCUAAUACCGGAUAGGUGCCAUUUUUAGUGUGAUGGUUGGAAAGUUUUUUCGGUGUAGGAUGAGCUCGCGGCCUAUCAGCUUGUUGGUGGGGUAAUGGCCUACCAAGGCGGCGACGGGUAGCCGGCCUGAGAGGGUGGACGGCCACAUUGGGACUGAGAUACGGCCCAGACUCCGACGGGAGGCAGCAGUGGGGAAUAUUGCACAAUGGGCGCAAGCCUGAUGCAGCGACGCCGCGGGGGGGAUGACGGCCUUCGGGUUGUAAACUCCUUUCGCUAGGGACGAAGCUUUUUGUGACGGUACCUAGAUAAGAAGCACCGGCUAACUACGUG